rnacentral:lncRNA from 1 species
CUGUAGGGAAAACCCCCCACAGCCAUUUUCUGUAUUGCAACUAUGAAAACUGUAUGUACAAGAGAGGUUGUAGAAUGUACAGAGGGGGGAGGAGCAGAGGGAUACAGACCUCAAGGAGGCAAAAAGGAAAUCCACUUAAGGAGAUCAUCCCUGAAACUAGCCUUAAUUCUAUGAGCUAACAAAGAAAUGUCAUGAAUAAAUCCAGCUCUCCAUUUCCUGAACUUUGGUUGUUCCUGGUUGAAGACCUUUGCAUUUCUGGUAGUCCAGAUAUUCCAACAGGCAGUGAAAACAACCUCAGCAAAGAAUGGAUGAGGGAAGUUCUUUCUAGCUGCAGCAGUAGCAGUCCACAUAGA